rnacentral:lncRNA from 1 species
CAGCCCCCCCAGUGCUUCAAAGUGAGCCAUUACAUGUCCCCAGAACAUGCUGGAGCUCCAUAAUGGGCAUUAAUAACCAUCUUCUGCUGUAGCACAUGCGGCCAGGAGGCAGGUCGCACUUCAACAGUACAAAACAGCGGUGCCCUGAUGACAUGUUAACAGCAUUUCAGAUGCGUUGUGAUACUCGGCCUGUUCAAGCUUCAAGCUUAUCGACACUCGCCUGUUGUGAGUAUGGUUAGGAGGAACAGGCCUGGAAUUUUUCCUUUUCUAACAUUUGUCUUUAUUUUCCUCACAGGUAUGUGAAAAUAAUAUGUUUGAAUAAAUUCACAGUUGCUAGGAAUGAAAGACAAUCAUUGUGUUAGAAUCUAAGCUGUUAAAUAUUUUGGAAGAAAUUGAUUUUAUGCAUUUUAUAAAUAUUCUGUCAAAAUGCUGUGUUAAUAUUGGCUGAGACUUGACAUACUUGUUUUUGUUUUAUAUGUUACAUAUAAUCUUAAUUGUUGUUAAAAGCUGGAAUUUAUAGUUAUAAGGUCAAAUCGUCCAAGUCAAUAUGUUGAUCCAUUCGACAAUGUCAAGAUAUCUAAUUGACUCGUGAUUGUGAGAAUAUUGUGCCACUGAAAAUAUUUGACUUUGUCAUUAUAGUUUGCUGUUUGUAUUUCUAUACACAUAUCUGAGCUAAAGAGAAACAUUUAGCUCUGGAUGUACAGUUAAGUAUUGAGGAGAUAGUGAAGUUGUGUGCAUUGUUUAUAAAACUUUUUAAGUGUGGCUAGAAGAAGGAGUUUUUCCUUUUAUAACAUUUGUCUUUCUCACAAUCCAAAAACAAAUUAAAUCUGGGUACCACCCAUGACAUGUAAUACAUAGAUGCUAAAUCUGCUUGAGGCUUUUUUAGGGAGUCCAGUCAGAACGAUGUUACAGUCAUCCAACCUACUAGAAAUGAAACUGCGGAUUCAUUUUUCCUCUUAUUGUAACAUUUAAAAAAAGUUGACAAUUAUAGGUCUUUGGAUUGUAGGGUUCUUAGGCAAACUGACUUUUAAGGUAUUUGCUUACAAGAGUCUCUUUCUCUGUGUUUCCAAAGACAAUAACAUCAGUUUUUUUCCCCAGAAACAUUUGCUUCAACUGAGACUGUUAACUUGCUCUAGACAGUGAAACAGUGCUAAAUAAAUUUAUGUGUCAUCUGCUUAACUGCGGUAACGGGCAUUAGCAUUCUGUAGAAUUAGGCAGAGAGGCAACAAAGAAGAAGCAUAUACAAACUUUUUCAAUGGUCACAAAAUAACUUUGUGUCUUCGAUUAAGAUCUGAAAGAUACCGAGACAGUUCCACUGUGCCGACGUGUCAAGUCUGUUUAACAGUAUAUUUUGGUCUGCAGUGUGAAAUGCAGCACCUAGAGCCAGGCCAGAACUGACACUGUGUACCUGAUUGUAACAGAUGCUAUAUGAAUAAAGAUUGAUUGAUUACCUUGUAGGGUUGCAGAAGACGUCUGGCAAAAAAUUAUUUAUACAAAGCAAU